rnacentral:rRNA from 1 species
UACGAAGGGGGCUAGCGUUGUUCGGAAUUACUGGGCGUAAAGCGUGCGCAGGCGGCUUCUCAAGUCAGGGGUGAAAGCCCAGAGCUCAACUCUGGAAUUGCCUUUGAGACUGAGUGGCUUGAGUACGGGAGAGGUGAGUGGAAUUCCCAGUGUAGAGGUGAAAUUCGUAGAUAUUCGCAAGAACACCAGUGGCGAAGGCGGCUCACUGGCCCGAUACUGACGCUGAGGCACGAAAGCGUGGGGAGCAAACAGG